rnacentral:rRNA from 2 species
UAAGCCGUUGAAGGUGGCCUGUGAGGGUUGCUGGAGGUAUCAGAAGUGCGAAUGCUGACAUAAGUAACGAUAAAGCGGGUGAAAAGCCCGCUCGCCGGAAGACCAAGGGUUCCUGUCCAACGUUAAUCGGGGCAGGGUGAGUCGACCCCUAAGGCGAGGCCGAAAGGCGUAGUCGAUGGGAAACGGGUUAAUAUUCCCGUACUUGGUGUUACUGCGAAGGGGGGACGGAGAAGGCUAUGUUGGCCGGGCGACGGUUGUCCCGGUUUAAGCGUGUAGGUGUGUGUUCCAGGUAAAUCCGGUU